rnacentral:rRNA from 1 species
GACGGAACCGUGCGGACGUUGUUCGGAAUCACUGGGCUUAAAGGGCGCGUAGGCGGGUCAGCAAGUCCGGGGUGAAAUCCUUUCGGCUCAACCGGGAAAAGUGCCUCGGAUACUGCUGGUCUUGAGGGAGGUAGGGGUUGUGGAACUUCUGGUGGAGCGGUGAAAUGCGUUGAUAUCAGAAGGAACGCCGGUGGCGAAAGCGACGAACUGGACCUCUUCUGACGCUGAGGCGGCGAAAGCUAGGGGAGCAAAGCGGG